rnacentral:rRNA from 1 species
UACGAAGGACCCAAGCGUUAUCCGGAUUUAUUGGGUUUAAAGGGUGCGUAGGCGGAUUAUUAAGUCAGUGGUGAAAGCCUGCAGCUUAACUGCAGAACUGCCAUUGAUACUGAUGAUCUUGAGUAUGAUUGAGGUGGGCGGAAUGUGUCAUGUAGCGGUGAAAUGCUUAGAUAUGACACAGAACACCGAUUGCGAAGGCAGCUCACUAAGCCAUAACUGACGCUGAUGCACGAAAGCGUGGGGAGCAAACGGG